UUACUAACUCCGCCUGUAGCACUACUAAAUUUACUGCCGGUCUCAAGCCUGGGUAAAGGAGAAGGGUUGA
rnacentral:ribozyme from 2 species